GACAGAGGGUGCAAACGUUGUUCGGAAUUAUUGGGCGUAAAGGGCGCGUAGGCGGUGCGGUAAGUCUGUAGUGAAAUCUCUGGGCUCAACUCAGAGUCUGCUAUAGAAACUGCCGUGCUUGAGUGUGGGAGAGGUGAGUGGAAUUCCCGGUGUAGCGGUGAAAUGCGUAGAUAUCGGAAGGAACACCUGUGGCGAAAGCGGCUCACUGGACCACAACUGACGCUGAGGCGCGAAAGCUAGGGGAGCAAACAGG
rnacentral:rRNA from 1 species